GACGAACGCUGGCGGCGUGCUUAACACAUGCAAGUCGAACGGUGAAGCGCCUUCCUUUUUGGUGGGUGUGGAUGAGUGGCGAACGGGUGAGUAACACGUGAGUAACCUGCCCCCUUCUUCUGGAUAACCGCAUGAAAGUGUGGCUAAUACGGGAUAUUCUGGGCCUGUCGCAUGAUGGGUCUGGGAAAGAUAUUGUUUCGGUGGGGGAUGGGCUCGCGGCCUAUCAGCUUGUUGGUGGGGUGAUGGCCUACCAAGGCGGUGGCGGGUGGCCGGCCUGAGAGAGUGGACGGUCACGAAGGGAGUGAGGCACGGGCCAGACUCCGACGGGAGGCAGCAGUGAUGAAUAUUGCACGAUGGGCGCAAGCCUGAGGCAGCGCCGCCGCGUGAGGGAUGGAGGCCUUCGGGUAGUGAACCUCUUUCGGCAGUGAAGCAGGCCUGCCUCGUUUGUGGGUGGGUGGACGGUAGCUGGAUAAGAAGCGCCGGCUACUACGUG
rnacentral:rRNA from 1 species